GACAGAGGGUGCAAACGUUGUUCGGAAUUACUGGGCGUAAAGCGCGUGUAGGCAGCUCGGAAAGUCGGGUGUGAAAGCCCUGGGCUUAACCUAGGAAGUGCACUCGAAACUUCCGAGCUUGAGUUCUGGAGAGGAAGGCGGAAUUCUCGGUGUAGAGGUGAAAUUCGUAGAUAUCGAGAGGAACACCGGUGGCGAAGGCGGCCUUCUGGACAGUGACUGACGCUGAG
rnacentral:rRNA from 1 species